rnacentral:tRNA from 1 species
GACCGCGUAGCUCAGUUGGAAGAGCAUUGGGCUAGUAUUCGAAAGGUCGUAGGUUCGAAUCCCGCCGUGGCCG